GAAAUAGUGAUGACGCAGUCUCCAGCCACCCUGUCUGUGUCUCCAGGGGAAAGAGCCACCCUCUCCUGCAGGGCCAGUCAGAGUGUUAGCAGCAACUUAGCCUGGUACCAGCAGAAACCUGGCCAGGCUCCCAGGCUCCUCAUCUAUGGUGCAUCCACCAGGGCCACUGGUAUCCCAGCCAGGUUCAGUGGCAGUGGGUCUGGGACAGAGUUCACUCUCACCAUCAGCAGCCUGCAGUCUGAAGAUUUUGCAGUUUAUUACUGUCAGCAGUAUAAUAACUGGCC
rnacentral:lncRNA from 1 species